AGAUAUUGAACUUGAAUAAGUAAAUGUUUUGAAAACAUUUUAUAGAAUUAAAAUUUUCUAUUAUCUU
rnacentral:tRNA from 1 species